CAGGAUUAGAUACCCUGGUAGUCCACCCCGUAAACGUUGGGAACUAGUUGUGGGGUCCAUUCCACGGAUUCCGUGACGCAGCUAACGCAUUAAGUUCCCCGCCUGGGGAGUACGGCCGCAAGGCUAAAACUCAAAGGAAUUGACGGGGACCCGCACAAGCGGCGGAGCAUGCGGAUUAAUUCGAUGCAACGCGAAGAACCUUACCAAGGCUUGACAUAUACGAGAACGGGCCAGAAAUGGUCAACUCUUUGGACACUCGUAAACAGGUGGUGCAUGGUUGUCGUCAGCUCGUGUCGUGAGAUGUUGGGUUAAGUCCCGCAACGAGCGCAACCCUCGUUCUAUGUUGCCAGCACGUAAUGGUGGGAACUCAUGGGAUACUGCCGGGGUCAACUCGGAGGAAGGUGGGGAUGACGUCAAAUCAUCAUGCCCCUUAUGUCUUGGGCUUCACGCAUGCUACAAUGGCCGGUACAAAGGGCUGCAAUACCGCGAGGUGGAGCGAAUCCCAAAAAGCCGGUCCCAGUUCGGAUUGAGGUCUGCAACUCGACCUCAUGAAGUCGGAGUCGCUAGUAAUCGCAGAUCAGCAACGCUGCGGUGAAUACGUUCCCGGGUCUUGUACACACCGCCCGUCAAGUCAUGAAAGUCGGUAACACCUGAAGCCGGUGGCCUAACCCUUGUGGAGGAGCCGUCGAAGGUG
rnacentral:rRNA from 1 species